AGGCCGGUCAUGUAUUUAGGAAAAUUGCGCAACGGAGCAAAAUUGCAAGCUUGAAGGACUUCCAAGUAAUACCACAGCCAGGCACAGCGUUUGUCUUUAGUGAGGAUGCAGGAUGUCUUCUUCUCUAAGUCUGGACACUAUGGACUUUAAGAAAUAUACUUGGGCUUCCCAAAGCAUGGGAAAGCAGGCCCAGGAAGGGGGCGGGGGGCAGCAGCGUCUGCUACGGGUGUUGUCAGGGCAUGAAGAUGGAAUUAGUAAAAUUUACAGCACUCCUAUGGACCUUUUCAAUUUAGUUCAUCAAUGUCCCUACUUCUACUUUUUUCUACAAACAGGAAAAAAUAACAACUAUGUUCGCAGAUGUGACAAGAUAAGUUUCAACUUCCUAAAUAAUGCUCACAACUGGCAAUUGAUACGGCAAUGGUCAGCAGUGUCUGAAGGGCAACUCGAAGGUUUGGGAAAACACUUUCAUCCCCAGAUUGUACGACGAAACAAAGUCAUUCCUGUGGGAUAGUGAUCAGAACAUCAUCUCGUGUUUUAAGCAGCAUUCUGCAAUCUACAAUUUUGCUGACCAGUUCCAAGCCAUCUAAGCCAGUGUCAUAGAAACUUCCCCCAUUAAUGCACCUUUCAUUGGUUGUAGAUAGCACCUGCUUAAAUAUCCAAAAGAAAGCCAAACUUUGAAUCCAAGCUAUGCAAUCAGAUGAACUGUUCGCCCAUUUCAUUAUGCAUUCUGUCAAUAGUACCAUUUAGCAAACGUUGCAUCUCAUUUUCUGCUGAGAGGCCUACAUCAUCUCCAGUUCCACCAGAAAUUUUUUCUUCAAUCUACAUCAUCUGGCAAUUCUCACAUCCCAAGCAUGACAAGUGCUCCUUUGCUUUUUGGAUAGAUGGCUGGCAGAUAUCGUCCCAAUUAGCAAGGUAAUAAACUUGCAACACCUGGAUAUCUUGUGCUGCCUCAUGGAAAUUCAUUUUUGGAUCCUCCAGCCACUUCUGGACUGUCAAUAUCUUCUGUGACUAUCCU